rnacentral:rRNA from 1 species
GCGAGUGAACAGGGAAAAGCCCAGCACCGAAGCCUGUGGCCAUNUGGCUACUAGGCAAUGUGGUGUUUAGGUUGUCUCGCAGAGACUUUGUCCCACCCCAAGUCCAGCUAUGAGUAUGGUUAUUCAGACUUGGCCCACAGAGGGUGAGAGGCCCGUGGGGGUGGGAUUCAGUUAUGUCAAUGUCUCUCUGAGUCGACCUUGGAGUCGGGUUGUUUGAGAUUGCAGCCCAAAGUGGGUGGUAGACUCCAUCCAAGGCUAAAUACUUACACGAGUCCGAUAGCGAACAAGUACCGUGAGGGAAAGUUGAAAAGUACUUUGAAGAGAGAGUAAACAGUGCGUGAAACCGCUCAGAGGUAAACGGGUGGAGUUGAACUGCAAGCUCUGAGAAUUUAGCUGGUGAGUGUGGUUUGGGCUUGGACAAAUUGGUUGGUCAUAUGGGUCUGCUUAGCUGCAGGUCCUCGCCCUCGGGUGGGGAUGCGCGAGGCACUUGCAAAGUGUUGCGCGCCCAAUUGGUGACUCGGACCAGCUUGCCAGUGCACUUUCUCAGAGUGUUCACCACGACUGACGCUGCUGUCUGUCUGAUACGGUUAAACCGGCCUUGUAUUGUCCUCGUGGCUUUGCUUGGUCGGGAUGGCAGGUAGCUCGUUGGCUUGUAUGUUGGUUUCGGCUAGCGUACGCCUGGCUUUCGAGUGUAAUCAGCUGACUGUGUUGGUACUGUGCAGUGCGUCAGAGACGGCGGCUUGUUGUGUGCGCGUUUGUGCCUGUUUCGUUGACGGAACUGAGUUUGGUUAUUUUGUUGCCUGUGUAGGCAGGCCUGGUGAUAUCUCAGUUCUGCUCAGUGAGCGGUUGCAAGUGUGACACAUUUCAGGGCCUACAGUCUGUGGUGUAGUGGUAGACUUUCCACCCGACCCGUCUUGAAACACGGACCAAGGAGAGUAACAUGUGCGCAAGUCAAUGGGCGUUACGAAACCCAAAGGCGUAGUGAAAGUAAAUGUUCGGCUUGUCUGAACUGAGGUGAGAUCCUGCCGUUUCUCACGCGCGGUACUACCAAGCGUUCGAUCGGUGGGCGCAUCACCGGCCCGUCCCAUGACGUGGUUGCGGUUUUCGGACUGUGCAUCGUCGGGGCGGAGCAUGAGCGUACAUGUUGAGACCCGAAAGAUGGUGAACUAUGCUUGCGCAGUUGAAGCCAGAGGAAACUCUGGUGGAGGACCGUAGCGAUUCUGACGUGCAAUCGAUCGUCAACGUGAGUAUAGGGGCGAAAGACUAUCGAACCAUCUAGUAGCUGGUUCCC